CCUACGGGAGGCAGCAGUGGGGAAUAUUGCGCAAUGGGCGAAAGCCUGACGCAGCGACGCCGCGUGAGGGAUGAAGGUCUUCGGAUCGUAAACCUCUGUCAGCAGGGAAGAACGGUCACUGUGCUAAUCAGCAGUGAAUUGACGGUACCUGCAAAGGAAGCACCGGCUAACUCCGUGCCAGCAGCCGCGGUAAUACGGAGGGUGCGAGCGUUAAUCGGAAUUACUGGGCGUAAAGCGCUCGUAGGCGGUAUGUCAAGUCUAGGGUGAAAUCCCCGCGCUCAACGUGGGAACUGCCUGUGAAACUGGCGAACGGGAGAGUGUGAGAGGCUAGUGGAAUACCAGGGGUAGGAGUGAAAACUGCAGAUAUCUGGCGGAGAAUCAGUGGCGAAGGCGAAU
rnacentral:rRNA from 1 species